UAUGGCAUAAUCUGUCUAGAGGACCUGAUCCAUGAGAUCUACUCUGUGGGGAUGAACUUUCGGGUGGUCAGCAACUUCAUAUGGCCGUUCAAGCUGUCUGUGGCUCGUCACACUGCCAGGGACAAGACAGGUCUUUUGAAGAACAUUGGCAACCCAGGGCCCAGUGGGAUGGACGUUAACUCAAUCAUCAGGCAGCCUACUCAUUGGUAGCUCUAUUCAUAAGGAUUCAAUUCAUCUUUGUCUUACCACCACUGGGACCCAGCUGGCAGAGUUCAUACUGGACCUGAUCAGAAUUUUACACAUGAAAAGACUGCCCCUCUCUGGACUACAUUGUGAUUAGACAGCAGUUUGUCUCUCUGUUUUGUUGAACAGUCUGUAAUCUCAUGUUACCACCUCUGCAGAGGUUCCGUAUGAAGGAGAUUCUAAUAGCUUUAUCACUACUCGCUUUUACCCUUCAGGUUGUUGAGGGGAUGUAAUUAAGCUUACUAUGUAUGUGAGAUGAAUGUUUUUCAAUAAACUGAAACGAUUUUGUA